rnacentral:rRNA from 1 species
UACGGAGGGUGCGAGCGUUAAUCGGAAUUACUGGGCGUAAAGCGCGCGUAUGUGGUUUGGUAAGUCGGAUGGGAAAGCCCCGGGCUUAACCUGGGAACGGAAUUCGAUACUACCUGACUAGAGUAAGGUAGAGGAAAGCGGAAUUCCCGGUGUAGCGGUGAAAUGCGUAGAUAUCGGGAGGAACAUCAGUGGCGACGGCGGUUUUCUGGACCAAUACUGACGCUGAGUCGCGAAAGCUUUUGUAGCAAACAGG